rnacentral:rRNA from 1 species
GACGAACGCUGGCGGCGUGCCUAAUACAUGCAAGUUGAGCGCUGAAGGUUGGUACUUGUACCAACUGGAUGAGCAGCGCACGGGUGAGUAACGCGUGGGGAAUCUGCCUUUGAGCGGGGGACAACAUUUGGAAACGAAUGCUAAUACCGCAUAAAAACUUUAAACACAAGUUUUAAGUUUGAAAGAUGCAAUUGCAUCACUCAAAGAUGAUCCCGCGUUGUAUUAGCUAGUUGGUGAGGUAAAGGCUCACCAAGGCGAUGAUACAUAGCCGACCUGAGAGGGUGAUCGGCCACAUUGGGACUGAGACACGGCCCAAACUCCUACGGGAGGCAGCAGCAGGGAAUCUUCGGCAAUGGACGAAAGUCUGACCGAGCAACGCCGCGUGAGGGAAGAAGGUUUUCGGAUCGUAAAACUCUGUUGGUAGAGAAGAACGUUGGUGAGAGUGGAAAGCUCAUCAAGUGACGGUAACUACCCAGAAAGGGACGGCUAACUACGUG